rnacentral:rRNA from 1 species
ACGAACGCUGGCGGCGUGCCUAAUACAUGCAAGUCGUACGCUUCUUUUUCCACCGGAGCUUGCUCCACCGGAAAAAGARGAGUGGCGAACGGGUGAGUAACACGUGGGUAACCUGCCCAUCAGAAGGGGAUAACACUUGGAAACAGGUGCUAAUACCGUAUAACAAUCGAAACCGCAUGGUUUUGAUUUGAAAGGCGCUUUCGGGUGUCGCUGAUGGAUGGACCCGCGGUGCAUUAGCUAGUUGGUGAGGUAACGGCUCACCAAGGCCACGAUGCAUAGCCGACCUGAGAGGGUGAUCGGCCACAUUGGGACUGAGACACGGCCCAAACUCCUACGGGAGGCAGCAGUAGGGAAUCUUCGGCAAUGGACGAAAGUCUGACCGAGCAACGCCGCGUGAGUGAAGAAGGUUUUCGGAUCGUAAAACUCUGUUGUUAGAGAAGAACAAGGAUGAGAGUAACUGUUCAUCCCUUGACGGUAUCUAACCAGAAAGCCACGGCUAACUACGUGC